rnacentral:rRNA from 1 species
GGAAUAUUGGACAAUGGGCGCAAGCCUGAUCCAGCCAUGCCGCGUGUGUGAAGAAGGCCUUCGGGUUGUAAGGCACUUUUGUACGGGAAGAAAAGCACUCGGUUAACACCCGGGUGUCAUGACGGUACCGUAAGAAUAAUCACCGGCUAACUUCGUGCCAGCAGCCGCGGUAAUACGAAGGGUGCAAGCGUUACUCGGAAUUAAUGGGCGUAAAGCGUGCGUAGGUGGUUUGUUAGGUCUGAUGUGAAAGCCCUGGGCUCAACCUGGGAAUUGCAUUGGAUACUGGCAGUCUAGAGUGCGGUAGAGGGUAGCGGAAUUCCCGGUGUAGCAGUGAAAUGCGUAGAUAUCGGGAGGAACAUCCGUGGCGAAGGCGGCUACCUGGACCAGCACUGACGCUGAGGCGCGAAAGCUAGGGGAGCAAAC